rnacentral:rRNA from 1 species
CCUACGGGAGGCAGCAGUGGGGAAUAUUGGGCAAUGGAGGAAACUCUGACCCAGCGACGCCGCGUGCGGGAUGAAGGCCUUCGGGUUGUAAACCGCUUUCAGUAGGGAAGAAGCGAAAGUGACGGUACCUACAAAAGAAGCACCGGCUAACUAUGUGCCAGCAGCCGCGGUAAUACAUAGGGUGCAAGCGUUGUCCGGAAUUAUUGGGCGUAAAGAGCUCGUAGGUCGUUUGUUACGUCGGAUGUGAAAACCUGAGGCUCAACCUCAGGCCUGCAUUCGAUACGGGCAAACUAGAGUUUGGUAGGGGAGACUGGAAUUCCUGGUGUAGCGGUGGAAUGCGCAGAUAUCAGGAGGAACACCAAUGGCGAAGGCAGGUCUCUGGGCCAAUACUGACACUGAGGAGCGAAAGUCUGGGGAGCGAACAGGAUUAGAUACCCUGGUAGUCCAGACCGUAAACGGUGGGCACUAGUUGUGGGAACCUUCCACGGUUUCUGCGACGCAGCUAACGCAUUAAGUGCCCCGCCUGGGGAGUACGAGCGCGAAGAAUAAACUAACAAAGGAAAGUUAGUAACGGCGUGAGACGUGCCGAACGGACGACGACGAGGGAGGAGG